rnacentral:lncRNA from 1 species
CUGGGUACCUUCCGAUGAACUUUUUUAGAAAAAGGACGAGACGUUCUUUGACAUACCCCUGGUUCAUCAACUUUCUGCUCAGACACUGGUGACGUUUUACAAAGUCUGAGUAGGAGCUGCAAGCUCUAGAAUACCGAAUAAGUUGGGAAAUGUAUAUUCCAUAUGCAGGUGAAGUUGGUAUAUUGCUACUAAGGUGGGGGAAAUUGAUAAUUUCAAAAUCAAAAUCGUCUCGUUUGUCAUAGAUUCUGGUACUAAGAUGACUGUGUAUGUCAAAUUCGAGGUAUAAGUCUAAAAAUGAGGCGGA